GGGGUUUUGGCUCAGUGGUAGAGCGCUUGCCUCGCGUGUGAGAGACCCUGGGUUUGAUCCUCAGCACCA
rnacentral:tRNA from 1 species